CAGUUCAUUCUUCCGCCGCUUUCGAUCUCCUUCGUUCUCCUUCGAUCUCCGAUCUCCUUCCCUCGACCCUAUCACUCUCUCAUUUAUUUCUCUCUCCUCUUUCGAUCCUAAACCCAAAACCUUCGAAUAUCUCUCUCCAAAAUCACCAAAGAAAAGAAUUCGAUAGAGGAGAGAGAUACGACGUUCCUCUCACGGAGCUUUCUGGGUUCCCUCUAACCCGAUGAUACUGUUGUUGGCGGCGAAAACUCCUCCGGCAAUCCGUCGGCAUUUAUGGUUCUCGCCGGUGGUGGCGGAGAAGGUGGUAGCGGCAUUCCCAACCAAAUUUCAAAAUCGUCGAUUUAAUUUUAACUAGAUGAAGCUAAAGAUCAACAAAGCUUGCGAUCUCGAUCAAUUUCAUAUAUGUUCUUCCUCCUCACACCAGAAUAACAAUCAGUUGGUGUUUGGGGAUGUCUAUGGAGCUGUUUUGCAUCCUAAACAGGCGGAGCUUGAAAAAGCCCAGAUUGUGGACCUUAAAUUCCAAGUUCCUGAUGUUGGCGUUUCAGGAUUUUAUUGGAACCAGAGAAGUAGGGGAGUUUCUUAGUGGUGCUUUGGCUGAGGCUAUAUCGAAGGCGGUUUUGGCACCUCUUGAAACCAUCAGUGAGAACGGGAUUAGAAGGUCCUGGACUGACUGCUGCUCAAAAGAUGUGGUACUGCAUUGCUAUAGUAGGGGGUCAGUAUAUUUGGACGCGGUUGCAGUCGUGUUCUGCUUUUCGUAGAUGGGGAGACUCUGAGGACAUUGGGACAACGGGCAUGGCUUUUGUUGCAGCAUGUAGAAGGAUUCUAUAAGGCUGCAUCAUUUAGCAACCUGCUUUUAUUUCUCUUAACUGAAAAAUAUAGGAGUUUGAUCGAGAGAGCUCUCAGAGCCCAGCUUGAGGUGUGUUCUUGAAGGAAUUCUUGCUGAUAAAGUUGAUGAGGAUGCUUCCUUUUCUUACUUCUUUUUUUUUUCCCGGAUUUGGUUAUGUUUUCGCGACUCCGAUUUUACAAACUAGGGAUUUUAAUUGCUGGAGUAUUAUGUUUUUUCGUUUUUGCAAUUUUCAUUACCAAUUGAAAGCGUAUUUAUAACGAGGUUUUGCUUUUGAUUACGUUUUAGAAAUAUGAUUUGAAUUCCGAAUAAGUUCUGCCUACAAGUCUCAA